CACACACACACACACACACACACACACACACACACACACACCGUAACACAUAGGGGAAAAGAAAAGUGCGGAGAGUGUUAAUUUCUGUAACAUGUGGCAAAGAACGACGAGCUAGGACCCUCCUCCUCGCCCCGGCUCUGUCACAAAGCAGAACCGAACGCUGAAGCUGAACCCUUGCAGCUAUUUUGGCACAAAGUCAAAAGGCUGAUAAGCAUUUCUGGGUGAGACUCGGCUGCUUUUCCUCGAGGAAAAACAGUUGCCACUUGCCCGGUAUUCGACAUUCAACAGUUCAGAGAAAAAUUUAGUGAAACCCCCCAGAGAUGCUGAUUUGCCCCUUUUUUAAAAUAGAGAAGAGGAAGAAGAAAACGACAGAACAUGAUGAUCUAGAUGAUUUGUUCAAACCAAAUCCAGGCAGUGAUUUACAUGAAGUGAGCCAGCGAGGGAAGUGGAGGGGGAGACCUAAACAGCAGGGCUGUUUCCACCAUCUUAGAUUGUAUUGAUUAUUCUCACACACGCUAGCUCUCUUUCUCUCCCCUUCUGUCCCUCCCUCCCUCUUUCUGUCUGUUCUGCCACCUUCUCUACUCGGCGAUCAGCAUUUGGCUUUUUCCAUUUGUGGCAGAUUACUGUAACGCUAUUGUACAACAACUUCCUGCCUCUUUUGGCUCUGGUUCUAAAAAACUGCAAAGGCAGAGCUCGUGGCUUUAACUUUUUCCCCCUCGGCCUUGAACUACAGGAGCUCUAUGAGGGAAGAAAAGGAGGAAGGGGAUAUGUAAAGUGUAUCUGUUACUGAGGAACUAUUUUGAUUUCAUUUCUGCUUUAUAAACUGCUGAGAAUUAAAGAGGGCAAGAGGGGACUACAUGCCUAAGCAGAGACAAUGAGAGAAAAAAGGAUUCGGAAGGAAGAAAAGGAGGAAGAGAGACACAGAGAGAAAAAGAGCAAAGGAGAGUUUAUCCUGGGAAUAAGCUGGAAAUUAUGGACCUAUUCGAUAUCAGACCUCAGAGUGGACAACCUAUCCUAGGAGGGACGCGCCCUAACUGUAACUAACAGCUACUUCUGGCAACCCCUCAACAACCAGACAUAUUGUCCUGGAUCAGGGCCGCUCUUGUAUGGCAGCACCGAACGAGGGCAGCUCAGGCAGGAAAUCCACCUACAGCAUCAAUUAUAUUAAGAAUAAAACUUUUGAUAACAAUGCAUUAAAAGUAAAUUGAAGCACUUUUUUUAAAAAAAGAUAUAGCUUGAACUGUAAACUGUGAUCCCUUCAAGAUGUUGCUUAUCAAACCUUAAGCAUGUUAAGCUGACAUGAACAAGAGAAAAUAAAUAAAUUAGAAUUUUCAGAUUACACAGUGGAUCCUGCACAUAUCUUUAUUUUUUUAAAAUAUUACUAUUAAUUAUUGAAUGUUUCCACCUGGUUUUUUGCUGUGCUGCUUUAAUUUCAUUGUAUAAGUCUGAAGUUGUCAAAACUACAUCACAGCAGAAGCACAGCACAUGGUUUCAAUUAAUUUAUAAGAAAUGUGAACUUCCAAAUGAUGAAUAUAUUCUGAUUGAAAACUCUUUUUAGUGACUGUGUAUUAAUUGUAAUACUAAUAGUAUUAUGGAAAUCAUAAGAGAAAAACUGGGUAUCAUUUUAGAGUCAUAGCACUGAGUGUAAUCUAGUGUCAGAGAAACUGCACUGUGAGAAUACUGAUCUACGGCACUAAGUUAACUGAGGUGCUGGGACAAAUUCUCAAAAGUCAAUGACACGUAAUGAUAAUAAUAUAAAGUACAUUCUCCUUCUCUGUCCACUCGACUAGCUGCAUCAGACUUCUACAUACUUGAACUCUCCCAGUGCAGUUUCCCCCUGGGGGCUGCUAGUACCUACUUUAAACAGCUUUGGCCAUUUCGUUUUUAUCCUUCCUCAUCACUAAGCCAAGAGUGUGCAGCCCUGGCAUUUUAGGGGCCACGUCACAACACCUGUGUCUGCGCCGCAGGGCUGCAAGGAGUCCAGCAGCCGAGCCAUACGCACUCAGCGGUUCGCUGCUUCGACCAACACUUCAUGCGUUCUGUUCCGCUAUCUCACACACUCCGUCUAGCAUCCUUGCUCUACUGAGGACAGCAAAACACGCACCUAAUACACUUUAUCCAAUUCAUAAACAUGCUCUCUUCCUUCCCCCUGAGCCUGCAGCCCCCGAGUGACUUCACAGCACUUUCUAACUUCUGAUUACAACUGUGAUAUUAGCUUAGGUGUAUGAUAGCUUCACUGGAAAACAAGAAGUAAGGAAGGAAAUAUUCCAUAUACUCAUCCGAUUCCCUAUUCAGCAAUGCCAUUUAAUAAACUUCCUAUCUGUUUCUUUGCAGAGCUAAAAAUAUGUGGCAACCCUUCACAAGGGACACAGCCCUGAUAUCGAUUUUGAAAGUGUCACAAAUGAAACCAGCGAUUACAUAGAUUCCACACCCUAUAAUUCAUAUGUGUAAUGUUAUUAGCAGAUGGAUAUUUAUUUAUGUGGGAGAAAAGACGCACUUCACUGGACAGCUGCAUAAACAGAGGUUAUACUCCAUGGGUUAUUUCUGCAAAUUUAUUAGCUCUUUCAAUUCCUGCAAAAUAUUAUUUUAAUAAUAUCAAAAUAAUAUGUGUUUCAGGCAUGCUUCACUUUUCAAAGAAAACGAACCUCAUGCCAACAUCAUAUAUGUCUAGAACUAUACAUUGCACCUUUUAUUAAAUAAAACAUUUCUUCUCUUUUGUACUUA